UGUUUGAUGUUCUAACGUGGACCCGUGAUCCGGGUUGCGGACAGUGUCUGGUGGGUAGUUUGACUGGGGCGGUCUCCUCCUAAAGAGUAACGGAGGAGCACGAAGGUUGGCUAAUCCUGGUCGGACAUCAGGAGGUUAGUGCAAUGGCAUAAGCCAGCUUGACUGCGAGCGUGACGGCGCGAGCAGGUGCGAAAGCAGGUCAUAGUGAUCCGGUGGUUCUGAAUGGAAGGGCCAUCGCUCAACGGAUAAAAGGUACUCCGGGGAUAACAGGCUGAUACCGCCCAAGAGUUCAUAUCGACGGCGGUGUUUGGCACCUCGAUGUCGGCUCAUCACAUCCUGGGGCUGAAGUAGGUCCCAAGGGUAUGGCUGUUCGCCAUUUAAAGUGGUACGCGAGCUGGGUUUAGAACGUCGUGAGACAGUUCGGUCCCUAUCUGCCGUGGGCGCUGGAGAACUGAGGGGGGCUGCUCCUAGUACGAGAGGACCGGAGUGGACGCAUCACUGGUGUUCGGGUUGUCAUGCCAAUGGCACUGCCCGGUAGCUAAAUGCGGAAGAGAUAAGUGCUGAAAGCAUCUAAGCACGAAACUUGCCCCGAGAUGAGUUCUCCCUGAGACUUUAGGUCUCCUGAAGGAACGUUGAAGACGACGACGUUGAUAGGCCGGGUGUGUAAGCGC
rnacentral:rRNA from 1 species